CGGCGGACGGGUGAGUAACACGUGGGUAACCUACCUAUAAGACUGGGACAACUUCGGGAAACCGGAGCUAAUACCGGAUAAGAUAUCGAACCGCAUGGUUCGAUAGUGAAAGAUGGUUUUGCUAUCACUUAUAGAUGACCCGCGCCGUAUUAGCUAGUUGGUGAGGUAACGGCUCACCAAGGCAACGAUACGUAGCCGACCUGAGAGGGUGAUCGGCCACACUGGAACUGAGACACGGUCCAGACUCCUACGGGAGGCAGCAGCU
rnacentral:rRNA from 1 species